rnacentral:rRNA from 1 species
UACGUAGGUGGCAAGCGUUGUCCGGAUUUACUGGGCGUAAAGCGUAUGCAGGCGGGCCCUUAAGUAGGAAGUGAAAGGUUGGAGCUCAACUCUAACACUGCUCCCUAUACUGAGGGUCUUGAGUGCCGGAGAGGAAGAGGGAACGACACGUGUAGCGGUGAAAUGCGUUGAGAUGUGUCGGAACACCUAUGGCGAAAGCACUCUUCUGGACGGAAACUGACGCUGAGAUACGAAAGCCAAGGUAGCAAACAGG